CCUAAAGGCGAAAUGAAAGUGAAGGAAACUUUGUUUUCGAGGGAGGAUGGGUUAGGUUCCUUUACUGGGCCGGCCCCGCACUCCUGGGGCGUCUCUAUCUCAUUGAGAGGAGGCGCACCUAGAGCGUACACGCUGAUACCCGAAAGAUGGUGAACUAUGCCUGGCCAGGACGAAGCCAGGGGAAACCCUGGUGGAGGUCCGCAGCGAUUCUGACGUGCAAAUCGAUCGUCGGAGCUGGGUUUAGGGGCGAAAGACCAAUCGAACCAUCUAGUAGCUGGUUCCCUCUGAAGUUUCCCUCAGGAUAGCUUGCGCUCGGAUGAAACGAGUCUCAUCCGGUAGAGCGAAUGAUUAGAGGCCUUGGGGUCGAAACGACCUCAACCUAUUCUCAAACUCCAAAUAGAUGAGAACCCCGGCUUUCUUGAACAUUGUUUUGGGGGCUCGGAUCAGAGUGCCAAGUGGGCCAAUUUUGG
rnacentral:rRNA from 1 species